AUUCAUUGCUUUGACUUGUGUAUUUUCCUUUUUUUCUUAGGUCUUCCCUUGUUCAAGUAUUCCAGGCUUAUGGCUGCACUCACCUGUCUGCAGGCGACCUCUUGCGGGCCGAGAGGGGUCAGGAGGGCAUUGAAUAUGGACAGCUGAUCGGAAGCUACAUCAAGGAUGGCAAGAUUGUUCCUGUGGAGAUCACAAUCAACUUACUGAGGAAGGCGAUGGAGGAAACGAUGCAGCUGGACCAGUCAAAGUUCCGCUUCCUAAUUGAUGGCUUUCUGCGUAACCAAGACAACUUCCAGGGCUGGACCUGUGUCAUGGAGGGGAAGGCUGACGUCCAAUUCGUCCUCUUCUUUGACUACAGCAAUCAGGAUGUGUGUCUCGUGUAUGUUCCUGGUCUGCACUGAAGGGUCCAGACAUACCUGCAGUCAACCUGGCCCGUCAUAGAGCUGAAUGAACAACAGAGGAAAGUAUGCACCGUGGAUGCCUCUCGCAGUGUGUGGAGGAGGUAUUUGCUGAAGUUAAGAGAAUUUAGCAGCUUCCUGUCUAUCCACCGAUGCAAUUAACCCUGCACUAACAGCAAGUUGGGUCUAUUGAGGUUAUGGUUACCACC